GACGAACGCUGGCGGCGUGCUUAACACAUGCAAGUCGAACGGAAAGGCCCUGCUUUUGUGGGGUGCUCGAGUGGCGAGCGGGUGAGUAACACGUGAGUAACCUGCCCUUGACUUUGGGAUAACUUCAGGAAACUGGGGCUAAUACCGGAUAGGAGCUCCUGCUGCAUGGUGGGGGUUGGAAAGUUUCGGCGGUUGGGGAUGGACUCGCGGCUUAUCAGCUUGUUGGUGGGGUAGUGGCUUACCAAGGCUUUGACGGGUAGCCGGCCUGAGAGGGUGACCGGCCACAUUGGGACUGAGAUACGGCCCAGACGCCUACGGGAGGCAGCAGUGGGGAAUAUUGCACAAUGGGCGGAAGCCUGAUGCAGCAACGCCGCGUGCGGGAUGACGGCCUUCGGGUUGUAAACCGCUUUCGCCUGUGACGAAGCGUGAGUGACGGUAAUGGGUAAAGAAGCACCGGCUAACUACGUG
rnacentral:rRNA from 1 species